rnacentral:rRNA from 1 species
UUAAAUUGAAGAGUUUGAUCAUGGCUCAGAUUGAACGCUGGCGGCAGGCCUAACACAUGCAAGUCGAACGGUAGCACAGAGAGCUUGCUCUCGGGUGACGAGUGGCGGACGGGUGAGUAAUGUCUGGGAAACUGCCUGAUGGAGGGGGAUAACUACUGGAAACGGUGGCUAAUACCGCAUAACGUCGCAAGACCAAAGAGGGGGACCUUCGGGCCUCUUGCCAUCAGAUGUGCCCAGAUGGGAUUAGCUUGUUGGUGAGGUAACGGCUCACCAAGGCGACGAUCCCUAGCUGGUCUGAGAGGAUGACCAGCCACACUGGAACUGAGACACGGUCCAGACUCCUACGGGAGGCAGCAGUGGGGAAUAUUGCACAAUGGGCGCAAGCCUGAUGCAGCCAUGCCGCGUGUAUGAAGAAGGCCUUCGGGUUGUAAAGUACUUUCAGCGGGGAGGAAGGUGUUGUGGUUAAUAACCGCAGCAAUUGACGUUACCCGCAGAAGAAGCACCGGCUAACUCCGUGCCAGCAGCCGCGGUAAUACGGAGGGUGCAAGCGUUAAUCGGAAUUACUGGGCGUAAAGCGCACGCAGGCGGUCUGUCAAGUCGGAUGUGAAAUCCCCGGGCUCAACCUGGGAACUGCAUUCGAAACUGGCAGGCUUGAGUCUUGUAGAGGGGGGUAGAAUUCCAGGUGUAGCGGUGAAAUGCGUAGAGAUCUGGAGGAAUACCGGUGGCGAAGGCGGCCCCCUGGACAAAGACUGACGCUCAGGUGCGAAAGCGUGGGGAGCAAACAGGAUUAGAUACCCUGGUAGUCCACGCCGUAAACGAUGUCUACUUGGAGGUUGUGCCCUUGAGGCGUGGCUUCCGGAGCUAACGCGUUAAGUAGACCGCCUGGGGAGUACGGCCGCAAGGUUAAAACUCAAAUGAAUUGACGGGGGCCCGCACAAGCGGUGGAGCAUGUGGUUUAAUUCGAUGCAACGCGAAGAACCUUACCUGGUCUUGACAUCCACAGAAGAAUCCAGAGAUGGAUUUGUGCCUUCGGGAACUGUGAGACAGGUGCUGCAUGGCUGUCGUCAGCUCGUGUUGUGAAAUGUUGGGUUAAGUCCCGCAACGAGCGCAACCCUUAUCCUUUGUUGCCAGCGGUCCGGCCGGGAACUCAAAGGAGACUGCCAGUGAUAAACUGGAGGAAGGUGGGGAUGACGUCAAGUCAUCAUGGCCCUUACGACCAGGGCUACACACGUGCUACAAUGGCGCAUACAAAGAGAAGCGACCUCGCGAGAGCAAGCGGACCUCAUAAAGUGCGUCGUAGUCCGGAUUGGAGUCUGCAACUCGACUCCAUGAAGUCGGAAUCGCUAGUAAUCGUGGAUCAGAAUGCCACGGUGAAUACGUUCCCGGGCCUUGUACACACCGCCCGUCACACCAUGGGAGUGGGUUGCAAAAGAAGUAGGUAGCUUAACCUUCGGGAGGGCGCUUACCACUUUGUGAUUCAUGACUGGGGUGAAGUCGUAACAAGGUAACCGUAGGGGAACCUGCGGUUGGAUCACCUCCUUACCUUAAAGAA